UACGUAGGGGGCAAGCGUUGUCCGGAAUCAUUGGGCGUAAAGAGCGCGUAGGCGGUCCGGUAAGUCCGCUCUGAAAGUCCGGGGCUCAACCCCGGGAGGCGGGCGGAUACUGUCGGGCUAGAGUCCGGAAGAGGCGAGUGGAAUUCCUGGUGUAGCGGUGAAAUGCGCAGAUAUCAGGAGGAACACCGAUGGCGAAGGCAGCUCGCUGGGACGGUACUGACGCUGAGGUGCGAAAGCGUGGGGAGCAAACAGG
rnacentral:rRNA from 1 species